AGAGAGAGACAUGCGCGCAUAUCAAUAAGCGGAGGAAAAGAAACUAACAAGGAUUCCCUUAGUAACGGCGAGUGAAGCGGGAAGAGCUCAAAUUUGAAAUCUUCAAGGUUUUACCUUGACGAAUUGUAGUUUAAAGAAGUGUUUUCUGCUGAAGUUUUGGUAAAAGUUCUUUGGAAUAGGACAUCAUAGAGGGUGAGAAUCCCGUAUUUGACCAUUAUUUUCAGCUUUGUGAUACACUUUCAAAGAGUCGGAUUGUUUGGGAAUGCAGUCCAAAAUGGGUGGUAAAUUUCAUCUAAAGCUAAAUAUUGGCGAGAGACCGAUAGCGAACAAGUACCGUGAGGGAAAGAUGAAAAGAACUUUGAAAAGAGAGUUAAACAGUACGUGAAAUUGUCAAAAGGGAAGCGUUUGACACCAGUGUUGUUUUCUCGAAAAUCAAUUAAAAAUGGCUCGAUUUUGUAUUGCUGAGACCUUAAAAGCUCACUGUACAUUUUUCGUGUCUUUUUUAAUGCACUUUUCGUUUAACAAGUCAACAUCAGUUUCUUUUGUUGUAAAAGGGUCAUUGGAAGGUGGCCUUCUUUUCGGAGAAAGUGUUUAUAGCCUUUGGCCUCUGCAAUCGGAGAGAUUGAGGUCUGCAGCGUAGAUCCUUCGGGGUUAGAUACAUUUGUGCUAAGUUAUAGCCUUUUCAUAGACAACUUGUUGACUAUAAUCAGUCAUGUAGCUUACUCGCUUAUGCUAUUUUACCUACGCUAGGAUGUUGAGUCGUAGAGCACGCAG
rnacentral:rRNA from 1 species